AUUGAACGCUGGCGGCAUGCCUUACACAUGCAAGUCGAACGGCAGCGCGGGGCAACCUGGCGGCGAGUGGCGAACGGGUGAGUAAUAUAUCGGAACGUACCCUGGAGUGGGGGAUAACGUAGCGAAAGUUACGCUAAUACCGCAUACGAUCUAAGGAUGAAAGUGGGGGAUCGCAAGACCUCAUGCUCCUGGAGCGGCCGAUAUCUGAUUAGCUAGUUGGUAGGGUAAAAACCUACCAAGGCAUCGAUCAGUAGCUGGUCUGAGAGGACGACCAGCCACACUGGAACUGAGACACGGUCCAGACUCCUACGGGAGGCAGCAGUGGGGAAUUUUGGACAAUGGGCGCAAGCCUGAUCCAGCAAUGCCGCGUGAGUGAAGAAGGCCUUCGGGUUGUAAAGCUCUUUUGUCAGGGAAGAAACGGGUCUUUCUAAUACAGAGGCCUAAUGACGGUACCUGAAGAAUAAGCACCGGCUAACUACGUGCCAGCAGCCGCGGUAAUACGUAGGGUGCAAGCGUUAAUCGGAAUUACUGGGCGUAAAGCGUGCGCAGGCGGUUUUGUAAGUCUGUCGUGAAAUCCCCGGGCUCAACCUGGGAAUGGCGAUGGAGACUGCAA
rnacentral:rRNA from 1 species